GACGAACGCUGGCGGCGUGCUUAACACAUGCAAGUCGAACGGAAAGGCCCUGCUUUUGUGGGGUGCUCGAGUGGCGAACGGGUGAGUAACCCGUGAGUAACCUGCCCUUGACUUUGGGAUAACUUCAGGAACCUGGGGCUAAUACCGGCUAGGAGCUCCUGCUGCAUGGUGGGGGUUGGAACGUUUCGGCGGGUGGGGAUGGACUCGCGGCUUAUCAGCUUGGUGGUGGGGUAGUGGCUUACCAAGGCUUUGACGGGUAGCCGGCCUGCGAGGGUGACCGGCCACAUUGGGCCUGAGAUACGGCCCGGACUCCUACGGGAGGCAGCAGUGGGGAAUAUUGCACAAUCGGCGGAAGCCUGAUGCAGCAACGCCGCGUGCGGGAUGACGGCCCUCGGGUUGUAAACCGCUUUCGCCUGUGACGACGCGUGAGUGACGGUAAUGGGUAAAGAAGCACCGGCUAACUACGU
rnacentral:rRNA from 1 species